CGACUACCUGGCCAAGGCCGGUGAAGCCGGCCGCUCUCCUCGCCCGGCCUGGGUUCUGUUCCUGGUAGUUGGCC
rnacentral:tRNA from 1 species